CUUCCCUGGCUCUUAGCCUCCUGUCCUGCCUUGGCUGGAUGUUGGUUCUGGGUUGCAGAAUGAAGGCAUUCCUUCCUUGCAGAGUUGAUGCUAUCCAAAGGACAAAGCACCAGCCAGCAUGACUCUUGUUUCCUCUGUCACAGGUGUGAGGAAAGAGGAUGGGGUGCAGAUCCAGCUGGGACCCAGACACUGAACUGAGCUCUUCCAUGGGGAGGCACAGCUGGGAAAAGCUGAGUCCCUGAUCUGCUCUUCAGAAGAGAAAAGAUCAGGUAGGAGGCAAGAGUGCUUCCUUAAGACUUUCAUUUAGAGGUAGAUGGAUGCAUUCUGAAAUGAAUGAUAAUCACUUAAUCUGCUGCUGCCUAUGGUCAGUCUCAGGACAUUUAUCAGUGUUAUCUUAGAUGGACUGGUGGGCAGGUUUGUACAGCACAGCUUGAUGUUGAGAGUCCAUUAGAUUUUCAUCAUUUAUUCUCUUUAUUGAUUCCCUGUUACACUACACUGCUGCUUCUCAGAAGUCAGCU